rnacentral:rRNA from 1 species
AGCGAACGCUGGCGGCAGGCCUAACACAUGCAAGUCGAACGAACCCUUCGGGGUUAGUGGCGGACGGGUGAGUAACACGUGGGAACGUGCCUUUAGGCUCGGAAUAACUCAGGGAAACUUGUGCUAAUACCGAAUGUGCCCUUCGGGGGAAAGAUUUAUCGCCUUUAGAGCGGCCCGCGUCUGAUUAGCUAGUUGGUGAGGUAAUGGCUCACCAAGGCUACGAUCAGUAGCUGGUCUGAGAGGAUGACCAGCCACAUUGGGACUAAGACACGGCCCAAACUCGUACGGGAGGCAGCAGUGGGGAAUCUUGCGCAAUGGGCGAAAGCCUGACGCAGCCAUGCCGCGUGGAUGAUGAAGGUCUUAGGAUUGUAAAAUCCUUUCACCGGUGAAGAUAAUGACUGUAGCCGGAGAAGAAGCCCCGGCUAACUUCGUGCCAGCAGCCGCCGUAACAC